CAACCUAAGUGUAUGUCAACUUCCGACUUCAACUGUACAUGCCCACUUUUGCCGAUGAUGCCCAAUUGCCCAGAGACAACACAUUGUGGUCUUUCCUCAGCUGCCAUGUGGACAUUUGUUGUCAAGUUUGCAUAUGGGUGCCACACACGCACAUUUCACUCGGCAAAUUGGAGGGACAAUUGGCUUCCAUAAAGUUGAACAAGACUUCCAAUGCAUUUCAACAAUAUUGCCAAAUGGCCAGGAAUGGAUUUCCUCCGACACGGUCACUUCUGCCGCAUGUCAACCGUGAAACCGCUGGUGUUGGCUACGUACAAAACCUACCAUAUCAGGAGCUGUUACAGAAGGCUGAGGCAGUGGCCAGACACCAGUCCUGCUUCAGAGUAAUGGAGGACACUUGAAUAAGCUGGGUCAGAUAUAGGAGCCUAAGUCAGGCUCCUUUAUGACCAGUAUCUGUGACAAGAGGGACCUGGAGCCGAUCUACGCUGCCACGGACAUCAGAUGGAGGACAGAAGAGAUGCUUUUGAAAUGGAGUCCUCAGGUUGAUAUUGAUGUCUGAACUGGGACAGAGAUCUUGCACUCAAGCAUUCAAAUUAUACAAGACAUCUACUACUUGUUGUGGUCUUUUGUUAUUAUUGAAUCGGACUGUACUAUCCAUGGGGGGGGGACCAUUCAAAAAGGUAUAAUAUUUGCACAUUGUUAUAUUAGCAGAACACUGCUUCUACAGUGUUAUGUGGAGUAGGGUGGGUUUAUUCUACAUGGAAGUGUUGCACUUGAAAGUUAUCUACGUAAGUGGCUCUGGAUAAGAGCGUCUGCUWAAUGACUAAAAUAUCAAAUGUAAUAAGUUCAGUAGUUGCACUCUUCUAAUAUUACUGAUUAGGCUACUAUCCUUCUGGAGGAAGCUUUGAAUAGCCUACAGAGUGAUARGAGAAGUGCGCCAUCCUCCACAUCGGCCAGUAGUUAUUGAACUCUGCCUGCUGGACCCAUGGGUUGAAGCGAACUCUGUCAUAUCCAGGAUGGAGUGUCAUGCACUCCACUUCUCCUGUCCCCUGACAGCACCUGUCCAAAACUUCUAAAACAUGACAUAGAUGGAAGGGACUUCAUCACCCACUGGAGACUUGAAGACAGAACCURACCCAGAGAGCUGUACAUCUCAGAUUAGGCCAAAUAGAAUGCCAUUCUAGUUCUGGUUAGACAGCUGAAGUUGUACAAUACAUACAACAUAUUUGUAUUUGCUAGGCAAGUGCAGGCAUACUGUCUUAAUCAGCACAUCAAUAUGAUAUUUACAGCAUAAAAUGUUUUGUCUUUGUAACACAAGCACACAUCAUUUUGUUGUUGUUGAUAAAUGUAUCUA